rnacentral:lncRNA from 1 species
UGAGUAUCAACUAUCAACUCUGACAGCGGGUCUGGACUAACACAAGAACAAAACUCACAACAGGAACCAGGUUUAACAUGAGAAUUAUAUAGAGGUGAAAAAAUAAGAAGGGAAAUAAGGAGUAGCAACUUCACAAAGCUUUUUAAUAUUGGUGCACAAACAUUAUUAGAAAGUUAAAAACAAUAAGAAAAAAAUAAUAUUGCUAAUGGCAGAACAGCAAACUCAGCAAACCAAAUCUUUUUCUAAACAUUUGAUUAUAUCGAGUAAAAAGUGAAAGAGACAUGCCAUGUAAAACUUGAGUAUCAACUAUCAACCCUGACAGCGGGUCUGGACUAACACAAGAACAAAACUCACAACAGGAACCAGGGUUAACACGAGAAUUAUGUAGAGGUGAAAAAAUAGGAAGGGAAAUAAGGAGGAGCAACUUCACAAAGCUUUUUAAUAUUGGUGCCAGCAAACAUUAUUAGAAAGUUAAAAACAAUAAGACAAAAAUGAGAAACAAUCAAUUUAAAAAGAAAUGGAGCAGCUAGGAGGUGGAUGGUUUUACAUAUAUAACUGGAAAAACCAUUCUGUGCUACAAU